rnacentral:rRNA from 1 species
UGCCAGCCGCCGCGGUAAUACGAAGGGUGCUAGCGUUAAUCGGAAUUACUGGGCGUAAAGCGCGCGUAGGCGGCUUGGUCAGUUGGGUGUGAAAUCCCGGGGCUCAACUCCGGAACUGCCAUUGAUACUGAAGGUCUUGAGUACAGUUGAAGUAGGCGGAAUGUGUAAUGUAGCAGUGAAAUGCUUAGAUAUUACACAGAACACCGAUUGCGAAGGCAGCUUACUAAGCUGUUACUGACGCUGAUGCACGAAAGCGUGGGGAGCGAACAGGAUUAGAUA